UACGGGGGGAGCAAGCGUUGUCCGGAAUUAUUGGGCGUAAAGAGCUCGUAGGCGGUGUGUCGCGUCGGCCGUGAAAACCUGCAGCUUAACUGUGGGCGUGCGGUCGAUACGGGCAUCACUGGAGUUCGGUAGGGGAGACUGGAAUUCCUGGUGUAGCGGUGAAAUGCGCAGAUAUCAGGAGGAACACCGGUGGCGAAGGCGGGUCUCUGGGCCGAUACUGACGCUGAGGAGCGAAAGCGUGGGGAGCGAACAGG
rnacentral:rRNA from 1 species